GAUGAACGCGGCGGCGCGCCUAACACAUGCAAGUCGAACGAUUAAAGCACCUUCGGGUGUGUAUAAAGUGGCGAACGGCUGAGUAACACGUGGGCAACCUGCCCCUCUCAUUGGGAUAGCCACGGGAAACCGUGGAUAAUACCGAAUACUUCGGGACUUCCACAUGGAAGACUCGAGAAAGCUCCGGCGGAGAGGGAUGGGCCCGCGGCCUGUUAGCUUGUUGGUGGGGUAACGGCCUACCAAGGCAAUGAUGGGUAGCUGGGUUGAGAGACCGACCAGCCAGAUUGGGACUGAGACACGGCCCAGACUCCUACGGGAGGCAGCAGUGGGGAAUCUUGCACAAUGGGCGAAAGCCUGAUGCAGCGACGCCGCGUGCGGGAUGAAGGCCUUCGGGUUGUAAACCGCUUUCAGCAGGGACGAGGCGAAAGUGACGGUACCUGCAGAAGAAGCCCCGGCUAACUACGUGCCAGCAGCCGCGGUAAUACGUAGGGGGCAAGCGUUAUCCGGACUCAUUGGGCGUAAAGCGCUCGUAGGCGGUCUGUUAGGUCGGGAGUUAAAUCCGGGGGCUCAACCCCCGUUCGCUCCCGAUACCGGCAGACUUGAGUUUGGUAGGGGAAGGUGGAAUUCCUAGUGUAGCGGUGGAAUGCGCAGAUAUUAGGAAGAACACCAGUGGCGAAGGCGGCCUUCUGGGCCAUAACUGACGCUGAGGAGCGAAAGCUAGGGGAGCAAACAGG
rnacentral:rRNA from 1 species